GCGUGAUGCUUUCCUCUGGAAAAGCUUAUCAUAAAGGGUAAUUUUUUGAACAGAAAGAUCAAUAAAUUAUCGUGUUGUGGUUGAUAAUUUCCUUCAGAAAAUAGCAGGUUUUCUCUGCCUCACCACCACAAGUCAUCUGGCAGGUGAAUCAUUCAAAUAAAGUGGACCAUAUAUUACAACAACAAUAUUAUGAAGUGCCUGCAACUUCACCUAUAUUGCUAUGAUAAAACUUUUGUCCUUUUCUAUUGAUUCCAAUUUUGAAACAAAGACGUUAAAGUGUUUGAAAACAGAUUUCUUUGUACAUAGCAAAUCUAAUAAAAAAAACAAGUAGAAGUGAGAGAUUUAAGAAAAACGAAGAACAAGUAUGCAUAACGAAGAACAAGUAUGCAUUCUCUGGAUCCUCUCCUUGCUUCUUUUAUCCUGGAAUUCAAGUUCCACAAGUCUGAAGAAAUUUAUUUAUAUAUAUAUAAUGGAUGAUAAGUUGAUACCCAUCAACAAUUAAUGCCAUAAAAUUUUCAAUUCGAUGAAGAAAACAUCAUGAGAUCAUGAAAGAUACUCUAAAUCUCUAAUUUUACUAACCAGGAACAAUCCCAAGAACCAGACCUUGCAUUAGAAUCUGAUAAAGAAAAAAAAAAGGCGGGGAAGAACAGGGAACC
rnacentral:misc_RNA from 1 species